rnacentral:rRNA from 1 species
UACGUAGGGUGCGAGCGUUAAUCGGAAUUACUGGGCGUAAAGCGUGCGCAGGCGGUUCGCCAAGUCAGGUGUGAAAUCCCCGGGCUUAACCUGGGAAUUGCGCUUGAAACUAGCGGGCUUGAGUGCGGCAGAGGGGGGUGGAAUUCCACGUGUAGCAGUGAAAUGCGUAGAGAUGUGGAGGAACACCGAUGGCGAAGGCAGCCCCCUGGGUUAACACUGACGCUCAGGCACGAAAGCGUGGGGAGCAAACAGG